rnacentral:lncRNA from 1 species
AGGUGUGAAAUGUGUGCCAAGGGACAGAGCUACUUGCAUCAGUCUGGAAUCAACCAACGAGGCCGCGAAGAGAUCAUAAGAGCAAUAAAAAAGGAGUGCCAUGCAAGGCACUUCUCCACCCUUUUUCUCCCUUGAUGUAUUAGGAACUGUGAUGUACAAGCAACUGUGAUGCACUUAGGCGAAGUGCCCCUGGAUUCAGCUUUCUCUUUGCUUGUAGUCGAUUUCCAGCAGACCAUGCUAUUUGGUGUAUGGUUCAUGUAAAACCUUGCGUUGCUUUAUCUAUAUCUAUAUCUAUACCAAUAUAAAAAGACCCAAAGGGGUAGAUCUAAUUGAUCUCGGCCAUCAAACUAAGUUAAUUCAACUACCUAGACUGCUUCAAUGGCGAGCGUUAAACAUGUUUAACGUGCAAUUAAUAUCAUACCAAAUAUUGCACUAAUCAUAGAUUAACACACAAAUAAUAGUAUACCUAAUAUUCGCAUGCAAUUAAUAUAUUCCUAAAUAUUAACGUGUGUUGCAUGUGCGUAUUUACUAGUACAUAAAAUGGGCCGAAAGCCUAUUUC